rnacentral:rRNA from 1 species
UACGGGGGGGGCAAGCGUUGUUCGGAAUUACUGGGCGUAAAGAGCGCGCAGGCGGUCGUUCAAGUCGCGUGUGAAAGCCCCCGGCUCAACUGGGGAGGGUCACGCGAUACUGUUCGACUCGAAGGCAGGAGAGGGAAGUGGAAUUCCCGGUGUAGUGGUGAAAUGCGUAGAUAUCGGGAGGAACACCAGUGGCGAAGGCGACUUCCUGGCCUGUUCUUGACGCUGAGGCGCGAAAGCUAGGGGAGCAAACGGG